UCAAGUGACUAAGAGCAUGUGGUGGAUGCCUUGGCGAUGAUAGGCGACGAAAGACGUGAUAGCCUGCGAUAAGCUUCGGGGAGCUGGCAAAUAAGCAUUGAUCCGGAGAUUUCUGAAUGGGGAAACCCACCUGCAAAGGUAUCGCACACUGAAUACAUAGGUGUGCGAGGCGAACCGGGUGAACUGAAACAUCUCAGUAGCUCGAGGAAAAGACAUCAACCGAGAUUGCGAAAGUAGUGGCGAGCGAAAUCGCAACAGCCUUCUAGUGAUAGUCGAACGGUUAGCAAAGCGGCAUGGAAAGGCCGGCCAUAGUGGGUGAUAGCCCCGUAUGCGAAAACCGAUCGGUGGUACUAGGCUAGAGACAAGUAGGGCGGGGCACGAGAAACCCUGUCUGAACAUGGGGGGACCAUCCUCCAAGGCUAAAUACUCAUCAUCGACCGAUAGUGAACCAGUACCGAG
rnacentral:rRNA from 1 species